CGGGGUGAGGUAGUAGGUUGUGUGGUUUCAGGGCAGUGAUGUUGCCCCUCAGAAGAUAACUAUACAACCUACUGCCUUCCCCG
rnacentral:pre_miRNA from 1 species